CAGAGAUGGUCCUACUCACAAG
rnacentral:misc_RNA from 1 species